rnacentral:rRNA from 1 species
UAGGGAUUCUUCCGCAAUGGACGAAAGUCUGACGGAGCAACGCCGCGUGAGUGAAGAAGGAUUUCGGUUCGUAAAACUUUGUUGUUAGGGAAGAAUAAAUGUAUAGUAACUAUAUACAAAAGAGACGGUACCUAACCAGAAAGCCACGGCUAACUACGUGCCAGCAGCCGCGGUAAUACGUAGGUGGCAAGCGUUGUCCGGAAUUAUUGGGCGUAAAGCGCGCGCAGGUGGUUUAGAAAGUCUGAUGUGAAAGCCCACGGCUCAACCGUGGAGGGUCAUUGGAAACUAAUAAACUUGAGUGCAGGAGAGAAAGGUGGAAGUCCUAGUGUAGCGGUGAAAUGCGUAGAGAUUAGGAGGAACACCGGUGGCGAAAGCGGCUUUUUGGCCUGCAACUAACACUGAGGCGGGAAAGCAUGGGGAGCAAACAGG